CCUACGGGUGGCAGCAGUGGGGAAUAUUGCACAAUGGGGGAAACCCUGAUGCAGCGACGCCGCGUGAGUGAAGAAGUAAUUCGUUAUGUAAAGCUCUAUCAGCAGGGAAGAAAAUGACGGUACCCAAAGAGGAAGCUCCGGCUAACUACGUGCCAGCAGCCGCGGUAAUACGUAGGGAGCGAGCGUUGUCCGGAAUUACUGGGUGUAAAGGGAGCGUAGGCGGGCGAGAAAGUUGAAUGUUAAAUCUACCGGCUUAACUGGUAGCUGCGUUCAAAACUUCUUGUCUUGAGUGAAGUAGAGGCAGGCGGAAUUCCUAGUGUAGCGGUGAAAUGCGUAGAUAUUAGGAGGAACACCAGUGGCGAAGGCGGCCUGCUGGGCUUUAACUGACGCUGAGGCUCGAAAGCGUGGGGAGCAAACAGGAUUAGAUACCCCAGUAGUC
rnacentral:rRNA from 1 species